AUUGAACGCUGGCGGCAGGCCUAACACAUGCAAGUCGAACGGUAACAGGAAGCAGCUUGCUGCUUUGCUGGCGAGUGGCGGACGGGUGAGUAAUGUCUGGGAAACUGCCUGAUGGAGGGGGAUAACUACUGGAAACGGUAGCUAAUACCGCAUAACGUCGCAAGACCAAAGAGGGGGACCUUAGGGCCUCUUGCCAUCGGAUGUGCCCAGAUGGGAUUAGCUAGUAGGUGGGGUAACGGCUCACCUAGGCGACGAUCCCUAGCUGGUCUGAGAGGAUGACCAGCCACACUGGAACUGAGACACGGUCCAGACUCCUACGGGAGGCAGCAGUGGGGAAUAUUGCACAAUGGGCGCAAGCCUGAU
rnacentral:rRNA from 1 species